UCUAACAUCCUGCUAAAUAUUAGAUGAUGAAACUCUCUUCUUACUGACUUGGCUAUGAGUUUCAUACAUCUACGUGUAAAAUAAGCAAAUUCUUGCCCUUCUCAACCCUUUUCAAGUCUAGGUCUAAAUCAGAGAUGAAGGAUAAAAAAAAUACUUCUUUACCACAUAACUCACUCAUGUCUUGCUAUCUCGCUCUUGAAAGUGGAAAAUUCUGGUUUCCAGCUCAGGUUUUCAACAGAGAGAAUGGGCAUGUGGGAUUUAUGCUUUCGUGUUAUGACGCACAAUUAAGCUAUGGUUCAACCUCAGACAAUUUUGUUGCUAGGUAUGGAUCGACAUUGGCCUUCAAAAUCUUGCUCAUUCUUUUUUGGUACAUUUGGUUUUGAGUGUCAAAAUUUGAUGAUUGCGGAUAUAAAAACCUUCUAUGUACAAGAAUCUCCUAAGUACUCUUGCUGUACAUGGAUCUAUUGAGUGGUGUUGACAUGGACAGAGUUAGUUUCGUAAGGUGUUGUAUGGGCAUAUUGGUUUAUGGUAGUUUUUUUUUUUUUUUUUUAAUGUUAUUUUUGUUUUCUUUUGACUUUAGAUAAAACUAUUGUACUUAGCAUUUUGAUUAUCUUCGGAUGAGAAUUUUAUUACAAUGUUUAUUUUAGUACAAUGUUUGGAUGAUUGAUUAUUUAUAUAAUAUAUGUUUUAGAUUGUAGUA